CGUGUCUCACAUCAUUGGAUAGUGCUCGGACUGAGCUUUCUAACGACAUAUUACACGUCGAAUUCCGACAAACGGUUUGAAAGAUAUGACCCCCGAAAGUUGACUCCAAAGUUCGGUAUCAGAUUACAUUCCGAGCAAUCAAAGGGUGCCACGUGGCGCCCAAACCCCUUUGUCCAAAAGCAAGCCUUUUGGGACAAUUCUCUCUAGUUUUUUUAGUCCCACAUCAGAAAUUUGAGAGAAUUGUCCCAAGUCCCAAGGCUAUAAGAAUAGCCAUUCCCCUCUUCCAAAGGGGAGGAGAAAAAUUGAGAAAAAUUUGAGAGAAGGAAUAUGGCCCCAUGAAGGUUUUUGCUAAUUCCCUCUCUCUAAAUAAAUAAUCUCUCAAAGUAUAAAAGUUUAAAUGUGUAAUCCUUCCUUGAGCCGGGAGACUUAGUCCGAUUCGGUUCGGUCCGAUUCGGUUCAAUCCGGUUUUGGCCUUGAAGCACAAGGGUUAUCUCCCCUUGUUUCUUGAUUAAAGCCGGCUUAAGAGGCUGAAAACCUACAAGGCCAAGUUAGUUGUCUUCCCAAUGAAAUUCAAGGCUGCUGAUUCUAGUCCUGAGGAAUUGGUCACUGCCACUCAAGUCCAAGAUAAUUACAUGCCCAUUGUACGGGAAGCCUAGUAAGAAUUAGCAUCUUAAUCUGCUGAUCCAAGAAUCAUGAGGAAUAUAAGAAUUUUUUAUCUUUUGAGAUCAAGCUAGUAUUUCAUUCUUGUUGAAAAAAAAGAUUUUGAAAUGAGAAGUUGAUUUAGUUA